rnacentral:rRNA from 1 species
GGGUCAGUAGGUUGGUCGUGCCACCGGUACGUACUGGUCUCACUGAUUCCUCCUUCCUGAAGAACCGUAAUGCCAUUAAUUUGGUGUUGCGGGGAAACAGGACUGUUACUUUGAAAAAAUUAGAGUGUUUAAAGCAAGCUAACGCUUGAAUACAUUAGCAUGGAAUAAUGAAAUAGGACGAUCGAUCCUAUUUUGUUGGUGUCUAGGAUUGACGUA